rnacentral:rRNA from 1 species
UACGUAGGGGGCAAGCGUUGUCCGGAUUUAUUGGGCGUAAAGAGCGUGUAGGCGGCCAGGUAGGUCAGCUGUGAAAACUCGAGGCUCAACCUCGAGACGUCGGUUGAAACCAUCUGGCUAGAGUCCGGAAGAGGAGAGUGGAAUUCCUGGUGUAGCGGUGAAAUGCGCAGAUAUCAGGAAGAACACCCGUGGCGAAGGCGGCUCUCUGGGACGGUACUGACGCUGAGACGCGAAAGCGUGGGUAGCAAACAGG